UGUACUGCAAAAUGUAAUGAAAUGCCCAUUGAUGUUGCUUUGGAUUGUAUUAGUAGUUGUGACAUGAACAACUCCAUUAACAUCGAUACUGAUGCUCAUAGCCUUGGGGUGACCUAUUUGGUGAAUUCUUGCUUGCAAGCAUGCAAGA